UAAGGAUUUAGGCCGUCUACAUGGCCGGUUAGACUUGGUAAAUACCCUUAUGCUAAUACUGGCCUUAACAAGAGUUGAGAUGAAACUAGAUGGUACAGAUAUUGCUGACAGAUUGACAGGGCAAGAGGAUUAUCUACUGAAUUGACAAGCAUGUACAAAAGUGGACAGUUGCUUUCAAAGAGGACUUUUGCAUUCUUGGUAGUUUUACUGCAAUGGAUACAUCCAUAUGUCGCUUAAGUCAGUUCUCGGUAUGUAGUUAUGUACACCAUUAUUCUCUGUCUUGUAAGAUCUUGAGCUCCUCUUUGCUUUUAAUGGUAUAGAGGUUUUCCGGUCCUCUUGGCACUUAAAGUUACUUAAUUGGUUGGCGUAAAUGAUUUGAGAUGGUUUAGUACUUGAGUUGAUAUUGUCUGAUUAUGGCAAUUUUCUUACCUUCAUGUAGGAUGCUACAGA